rnacentral:rRNA from 1 species
UACGUAGGGGGCAAGCGUUGUCCGGAAUCAUUGGGCGUAAAGCGCGCGUAGGCGGCCCUGUAAGUCCGUUGUGAAAGUCAAAGGCUCAACCUUUGAAAGCCGAUGGAUACUGCAGGGCUGGAGUCCGGAAGAGGCGAGUGGAAUUCCUGGUGUAGCGGUGGAAUGCGCAGAUAUCAGGAGGAACACCAAUAGCGAAGGCAGCUCGCUGGGACGGUACUGACGCUAAGGCGCGAAAGCGUGGGGAGCGAACAGG